UAAAUAUUAAUUUUGUACCUUUAUUGGGCAAUACUUAAAAAAUGAUAUAAAGUAUUUUGAGUCAGUGUCUUAUAUGUUAAGAGAGACUGAAAUAGUUUAUAUUAAGUUUGUAUUAAGAUUCUUUAAAAUUAAAAAAAAGAAUAAUAUCUAUGUACAACGGAGAAGCAAUGUAUCUAUGUAUAUGUAGUAUAUUCAUGUGUCAAUAUGACAAAGGAGAUAAUCUGUGUGCGUGUGUGUUUGCUGAGCUGUAGGAUGUGUGUUGUAGAGGCCAGGGAGUGUAUAAGAGAGAGAGAGAAACAGAGAGAGAGAGAGAGAGAGAGAGAGAGAGAGAGAGAGAGAGAGAGUUUAAGGGUAGUGAUGGUCUUAAAUUUGCAAAUGGACAAGAGUCUUUACUUGACUUUGCCUGGGAACUUAUCCGAUGGGACAUGUCCGAGAAGUAAAAAUAAAUAAAAAUAAAACAAAGCAAACAGUCCUGGAAACACAGUGGCCAAGAGAUAAAAAUCAAAACAAGGAGGUCUCUGUACACUGUUGGGCUAUAAAAAGGAGCCAGUCAUCCUGAAACUUUCUGGGCAGCCUUUGAGGUUUAGCACCAGUUGCCCUCUUGCCUCUGGAGAACUGGCAGACUGCAGAGCAAGGGCUGGCAGAGCCUCCAGGCCACACUCUGUCCUACAGCAGACCAGGAACGUGACCUCCUUAACUCUGGGGCCAGGUGGAGCAGGUCCUAUCUGCCUCAUCUUGCACAUUCUCUGAAGGAUGUGGGAGGGAAUGUGGCAUCAGGCUCUGAACUCAGGAGUCUACCUCUUUUUCCUUGACCCCAUUCUGAUUGCUAAGAACUGGCAAAACCAGUUAUAAUCUGCCAUAAAUCAUAAAUAAAGUUGGCGAUUAUACUGAGGCCAAAGGUUGCAGAAUGCAAGGGAAUUGGCACCAAUCAUCUUGGAGAUUCAGUGUUGGGCACCAAAGGAAAUGUCCACAGAAAGUACUAGUGUGCGAUUUAGUAGUGAACGUGCUAAAAACUCAGUGUCCUGCAUGAGUGGAAUGUGUGGGGAAGGGGGAUUUGGGUUCUAGUCCUCUCACUCUGCCUUGUGCUGACCCCUGUAGGGAUCUUUCAAGUGCACUCCCUGAUCUCAGCUUCUGUCUGAAAGGGAAAGAAAGGGACUUGUCCGAGCUCACAGGAGAGCAUGUAGCCCCACAGUGAAUGAGCAGCCUCUGGGGCAGUCAUGCUAAGCUGCUAUUCUAGACUAAUCCACUACAGGGAAUAAUGGAGGGAGAAGUUGAUGGUGACCUGGCGGCUUUGAGGGCCUCCCACACACAAAGUUUGAAGUGCUGUUGGAAUGACCAUGUCCCACAGAGAGCACACUGGGUAGCCCCUAAAUCUGAAAGUCCAGCUGAGCCUGAUGAGCCUGAGUGAAAGCCUGGCAUUUGGGAGCAGCAUCCAUUCCCAUUUCCUUUGAAAACAGAGCAAAACACCCUUUUAAUACUGUGUAUUGCCUUAAGGGUUAGCCAUGCUGGGGAUAUUGCUUAACAGUAAAGCACUUGUCUGCAGGCACGAGGUCCUGGUUCCUGCCCCAGCACCACAUAGGCAGAAUAGAUCAUAAUCUUUCAAGAGUGUCUAUCUGAAAGGAAGGGUCUCCCACUGUCCUGGGUCAGCUAGCAGCUUGAUGACAGAGGUUUGACUGAGUGUCCUUUGCCUUGCUUGACCACUAUCAGUAACGUCCGUCAAGGUGGAGGUCGUGACCGAUUGCUUAUACUAGCUCCACUUUACAGACUUGGGGAGAGUUAUGGAGAAAGGGAGUAACCUUCCCUAGGUUACACAGAUAGGAGGGCACAAUCAGGAUUAAAUCAAGAUGGCCUAGAACUUCAUCCCUGUCCUAGUAGGGAACUAGGUAUGGGUCUUGUGGUUGUUUUAAAUCUAAGACAGGGUUUCUCUGCGUAUUGCUGGCUGUCCUAAAACUCACUCUAUAGACCAGACUGGCCUCAAACUCAGGAGAUCCAUCUGCCUCUGCUUCCUGAGUGUACUACUACUGCCUGGCUUUACUGAACUAUUUUUUUUAAUAAAAUGUAAACUACAUUAUUUACUAAUUACAUGCAUGUGUGCACAUGUACAUGCUUACACAUGUGUGUGUGCAUGCAUGUAUUAGUGUGUGUGAGAGGAUGCCUCAGUGCAGAAGUAGAAGUCAGAGGAUAACUUCCAAAGGUCAAUUACCCUUCCCACCAUGUGGGUCUCUGGGGUUGAACUCAGGACCUCAGACUUAGCAGUGGGUGCCUUUUCCUACUGAGCUACCUCGCUAGCCUGGGACUAUUGAGUUUCAGUUGGAUGCAGGGAGGAUGUGCAGGAUAAGGAGCUUAGCGCUGGGUAUAUCAAAGCUCUGAUAUCAAUUCUUAUCACUCUCUGUGCUGCGACCCGGGCGAUCUUUUGGAGACAGACUCAGUUAAAUCCUUACAAAUCCUUGCUUAUAAAAAACCCAACAGAGCCAGGUGGUGGUGCAUGUCUUUAAUCGCAGCACUCUGGAGGCAGAGACAAGCAAACCUCUGUGAGUUUGAGGCCAGCCUGGUCUAUGGAACAAGUUUCAGGACAACCAGGGCUACAAAGAGAAACCCUGUCUAGAAAAAACAAUCCAACAAUCCAUCCUACGAUAACUCAUUUUCAUUAAAGGAAUGACCAACGUGUUUAAGAAGGCCUUUGGCGUCUGUGCCAGACUGGGCCUCUGCCUGCUGAAGGCCUCUACCCUUUCAUCCCUCAUUCUGGUCCUUCUUUGCCUCCUUUGAGACUUGUGCCUUACCCAGUCCCUCUCCUGAAAGACUUUCUAAUCGAACCCUUUCCCCCUAGGUGCUCAGCCUGCUAUCACCCUGGGAAGCCCGUGACUCCACCUUCCAGGUUUUCCGCAUUGGAGUUUCCAGGAGAAAGGAGCUGUCUUUAACCCUUCCUCUCCCUCCCUCUGAGUGCUGGAUCACAGGUGUAUACUACCUUCAUCUGUAACACUUUGUACCAGCUCCCCUGUCCCAUCCCACCUAAGUCCAUCAGGAUGCACCAACCUAUCUCUGGGAUAAACAUAAGUCCUAGGCUCGUAACAGUCCCUCCAUUUCCCUUCCCUUGCCAAAUGGCUCUGUCGGAUCACCAAGCCCCAGCUAUACAUGUGCCAUAGAUGUACUUCUGUUUAUCAAACAACACUAGAGUAUCUAUUUGUUUACGGUUUAUAUUUUCAUUGAAGUACUUUUAAAUAUUUUAAUUAAUACCAGAAAUGCAUCUCAUCUCUAAUAGAUAACAUUUAAAUACAUACACAUAUGAGAGGGUAUUAAUUAAGUUAGUCUGGGGUCUUUACACUUUUUUUUGGUACUAGAACAGACAGUAAUCUGUGGGUCAGCCAUGCUACACAGGGUAGUCACUACUGCAACCAUUCAAGUAUGACAUCAUGGCUAUAGGUGAUAUAAAAGUAAAUGGGUGUGCCUAUGUUCCAAUAAGAUUUUACUUACAUAGCAAGUGGGUUGUGUUGACUCUUGAGUUAGACAUUGCUGGUAACUAAAUCUGAUGAACCUGAGUCCUGUUCUCUUAAAGAAAGGCUCAAGAUACACAGAUUUUUAAAGGGAGUAUAAACACGCUAGUACCAUUCAAAUACAAUCAUGAAAGUCAUAUGAAAAAAAUGAAUGAAAACCAAAGUGCCAAUGUCUUUCAGCAUGAGUCUGUGUAUUAGCACAUGGCCCAGGGGACAGCCCAGAUCAAUGACCUGAGAUCAAUCUUCAUUCACCUCUCUUUUUUUCCCCAGGUUGAAACUGAGGAUCAUCAGUAUUUUCAGUGCCUGACAAUUUUCAAAGCCCAUCCGUUUUCCUCUGUUAGGUUACUGAGGAGUUACAAAGAUUCUAGAGGACACCCAGGCCUUUAGAGUCCAUGCUCAGGGCCUCCAGCUCCCCAACAACCUCUCCAGCCCUCCCUGGCCUCCUCUCACUCCCCACUGGGCUAGAGUAAAGCUUUAAAAGCA